GGUCGUAUAGCUCAGUUGGUUAGAGCGCAGCAUUCAUAAUGCUGAUGUCGUAGGUUCAAGUCCUACUACGACCACCA
rnacentral:tRNA from 1 species